UCUCCCUCUUUUCUCCUCCCUUUCCACCUUCAAUCCAGAAGAGUCUCUCUCUCUCUCUCUCUGCAUACCCCCUCCUCCCAAAAGAAAAACAAAAAUGAAUAGGAAUAGGAAUGGCCAUGGUGGUGGACCCGGACCCGGGGAGGGAUCCGGGGCAGAGCUCUUAAUCAACACAGCCGAAUACUUCCUCCGGAACCGCAACUUGGACGGUUGCCGGAAAUAUGCAGUCCAAGCCCAAGAGUCAAACCCUACCGCCGCCGCCCAGAUUCUGGCCGUGGUGGACGUCCUGGCUGCUGCCACCACCCGCUUUAACAACAACAACAACAACCGACCCGACUGGUACUCAAUUUUGGGAGUGAAACGUUACUCGGAAGACUUACAACUCCUCAGAAACCAGUAUAAGAAGCUCAUUCUACUCUUAAACCCUAACAAGAACAACUCCCCCUUCGCUCUCGAAGCUUUCGACCUCGUCCGCCAUGCUUGGACACUCUUGUCCAACCCUUUAAAGAAGAAUCAGUUCGACAAUGAGCUUCGAAUGUUCUUCGAUUCUCAGACCAAAACCAAACAACCACUUGACAAGAUGAAGAAGCAGAAGACGAAGACGAAGACGAAGACGGAGAGUAGUAGUAAUAGUACUCCUAUGGAGGGAGGACAAUGUGGCUCAGACUCAGAUACAUUCUGGACCGUCUGCCCUUACUGUUACUAUGUCUAUGAGUAUGUUAGGGUUUAUGAGGAUUGUUGUUUGAGGUGCCAGAACCACACCUGUAUGAGAGCUUUUCAUGCCGUGGCUAUUCGGUCUCCACCCCCGCCCGCUGUUGUGAGGAAUGGUGAGUACUGGUGUUUGGGGUUUAAUCCAAUUGGGUUUCAGAAUGGAGGAGGAGACAAAGGGAAAGGGUUUUCAUCAUGGAUGCCGUUCACGCCAAUGUUCACGGCAACUCCUCAUGAGGAGGAGGAGGAGGUGGUGGUGGUCAACAAGAAUUCUGUGCCUCCUCAGGGUGGCAAUGAAUCUAAUAUAGGCAAUAACAGCGAUAAUUCAAGUGAUGAUGAACUCUUGGGUAAAACUGAGGAGAAUGCUAGUGGUAAGAAUUUGCAAACAGAGCAAGUGAAGAAGGGGGUUGAGAGCUUUGAUGGGUGUACAAGAAAAACUUAUCAUCAUAGAGAGGUACCUAGCCCUAGCCCUAGCCCUAGCCCUAGUGUUGCGAAGCCAGUGAUGAAGAGGAAGAAAUCAGUGGCCAGGAAUACCAAAAAGAUUAUGGGCAAAGGGACCAGAAUUAAGAAAGAUGAGACCAUUCCUGAGCACGUGGAAGGAUCGGACUGGGAUACAGAUGAUGCCAGUAAAGAUUACGAGGAUUUUGGUUCUGGGAUUGCUGAAGGGAUGGAGACGCUAGGAAGUAGUAGGGGUCAAUCUGGUACUGGUAUGGAUGGAUUGCAGUUUUUUGAUGGAGAGGAUGAUGAUAUCUUUGUGGGUCUGCAAGAUGGUUUCUUCUGAUGUGGGAAAUCCAAGGCAUAUGCAGGCAUGAAGCAACUAUGGAUUAGUAGAAGUUGAUGCUGAAGAGUUAUCACAUGUUCCAUUGAUCUCAAGUACAUAGCUCUUUUGUACGUAGGAGUGCACUGAAUUAUGCAAGGCCUCUUGCUAACAUCAGUGGAACCAGCUCAGAUAAGCUCAUUAUCCAUGUACAUGUCCUUUCUUUUUGUCUUUCAGAGUACAAUAUGUAUGCGUUCAAAAAAACAAAAAAGAGUACAAUAUGUAUGACGAACUUGUGAAAUCAAUGAGUCACGCUCCAAGAAAAACAUGUUAAGGAGCCUAUUAGAAGUGCUAAUCUUGAAAAAAAAUAUAUACAGAAAAAAAGAAACGUAAAGAUGGGCCUUUUGUGAGUUUUCUGUA